UCUUAUGGACGAGCAAAGAAAGUGGGUUCUUAAGAUGGAUUUUACUCCUAGUGAAGAUGCUAUGAA
rnacentral:pre_miRNA from 1 species